AAUCAGUGUAAAUGAGUAAAAGAGAGAGAGAGAAAAUUUAAAACAAAGAGAGAAAAGAGAGACGCACACAAGUGAAGAACUAAAUAAAUCAGUGUAAACGUGAAGAGAGAGUGAGAGAGAGUGAGAUAAAAUAAAGUUGAUCAAGAUAAAGAGAGAGAGAUUAGGAGAAACAGAAAAGGAGAUGCAGACAGACACCUAAAGAAAACUAAAUAAAUCAGUGUAACUGUGUAGAGAGUGCAUGAGAGAGAGAGAGAGAGAGAGAGAGAUAAAGACACACUAUCCCAUAGACACAAACACACACACACACACACACUCACACACACACACACACUCACACACACACACACACACACUCUCACACACACAGGGAGGAAAAAGCUAAAUAAAUCAGUGUAAGUGUGCAGAGAGAGAGAGAGAUAAAGAGAAUGAGAGAAAGAUAAGGAGACAGAGAGAGAGAGAGAGAGAUAAAGUGAGAGAAAGAGAGAUAAAGUGAGAGAGAGAGAGAGAGAGAGAGAGACGGGCGUCUGUUCCUCCCCUCCGUGGGCCGGUUUGUAUGUUUUGCGGAUGUGGGAGUGGUGUUAGGAGAGUGUGUGUGUGUCUGUUUGUGCGUGUGCGUGCAUGCGCAUGUGUGUGUGUGUGUGUGUGAGAGUGUGUGUGUGUGUGUGUGUGUGUGUGAGUGGUGGAGGGCUGCUGCUGCUGUUGAUGUGCAAAUGUGCAUCAUAUUGAAGGCUGGUGAAUAGGGAGGGUGUGACGUGGACGGCGGAGUGGAGCGCAGGUGCUUAUCGCCGGGCUGUCACACACACACACACACACACACACACACUGUCACACACACUCUCACACACACUCUCACACACUGUCAUAUUCCUGGGGACUUUACCUUUCAAAAAGCUCCAGCCUCCGCAGGCAGAGCAGCAGCAGCAGCGUCCUCCCGCCGGCCAGCGGAGCUCCAGCCCUCCUCAACUUCUCCAUCAGCAGCAGCAGCAGCAGCAGCAGCAGCAGGUGUGUGUGUGUGUGUGUGUGUGUUCCUCUCUCUGCUCAUAUUCUCACCUUAUACACACACACACCCCGUCACACACACCGCACCGGCGUCCGAGCGCGCUGGGACAUCAGCGGGACAUCAGCGGGACAUCAGCGGGACAUCAGCGGGACCGCACUGAUUCUGGACUGAGUGAAAGUGAGGAUGCUUUUCUCACUGAAACCCUGAGAAACUCUGAGAAAAGAGCGAGCAGAGAGCAGCCGUCCAUCCCACAGUCUUCACCCCCCCGCCAAAAAACAAAGGUAAAAACAGAGUUUUAUUUCCUGCUGCAGAUCAGAAGCGUUUCUGAUGCAUUUCUCUGUAUAAACAGA
rnacentral:lncRNA from 1 species